AGAGUUUGAUCCUGGCUCAGGACGAACGCUGGCGGCGUGCCUAAUACAUGCAAGUAGAACGCUGAAGAGAGGAGCUUGCUCUUCUUGGAUGAGUUGCGAACGGGUGAGUAACGCGUAGGUAACCUGCCUUGUAGCGGGGGAUAACUAUUGGAAACGAUAGCUAAUACCGCAUAACAAUGGAUGACCCAUGUCAUUUAUUUGAAAGGGGCAAAUGCUCCACUACAAGAUGGACCUGCGUUGUAUUAGCUAGUAGGUGAGGUAACGGCUCACCUAGGCGACGAUACAUAGCCGACCUGAGAGGGUGAUCGGCCACACUGGGACUGAGACACGGCCCAGACUCCUACGGGAGGCAGCAGUAGGGAAUCUUCGGCAAUGGGGGCAACCCUGACCGAGCAACGCCGCGUGAGUGAAGAAGGUUUUCGGAUCGUAAAGCUCUGUUGUAAGUCAAGAACGAGUGUGAGAGUGGAAAGUUCACACUGUGACGGUAGCUUACCAGAAAGGGACGGCUAACUACGUGCCAGCAGCCGCGGUAAUACGUAGGUCCCGAGCGUUGUCCGGAUUUAUUGGGCGUAAAGCGAGCGCAGGCGGUUUGAUAAGUCUGAAGUUAAAGGCUGUGGCUCAACCAUAGUUCGCUUUGGAAACUGUCAAACUUGAGUGCAGAAGGGGAGAGUGGAAUUCCAUGUGUAGCGGUGAAAUGCGUAGAUAUAUGGAGGAACACCGGUGGCGAAAGCGGCUCUCUGGUCUGUAACUGACGCUGAGGCUCGAAAGCGUGGGGAGCGAACAGGAUUAGAUACCCUGGUAGUCCACGCCGUAAACGAUGAGUGCUAGGUGUUGGAUCCUUUCCGGGAUUCAGUGCCGCAGCUAACGCAUUAAGCACUCCGCCUGGGGAGUACGACCGCAAAGUUGAAACUCAAAGGAAUUGACGGGGGCCCGCACAAGCGGUGGAGCAUGUGGUUUAAUUCGAAGCAACGCGAAGAACCUUACCAGGUCUUGACAUCCCGAUGCUAUUUCUAGAGAUAGAAAGUUACUUCGGUACAUCGGUGACAGGUGGUGCAUGGUUGUCGUCAGCUCGUGUCGUGAGAUGUUGGGUUAAGUCCCGCAACGAGCGCAACCCCUAUUGUUAGUUGCCAUCAUUCAGUUGGGCACUCUAGCGAGACUGCCGGCAAUAAACCGGAGGAAGGUGGGGAUGACGUCAAAUCAUCAUGCCCCUUAUGACCUGGGCUACACACGUGCUACAAUGGUUGGUACAACGAGUUGCGAGUCGGUGACGGCAAGCUAAUCUCUUAAAGCCAAUCUCAGUUCGGAUUGUGGGCUGCAACUCGCCUACAUGAAGUCGGAAUCGCUAGUAAUCGCGGAUCAGCACGCCGCGGUGAAUACGUUCCCGGGCCUUGUACACACCGCCCGUCGCACCACGAGAGUUUGUAACACCCGAAGUCGGUGAGGUAACCUUUUGGAGCCAGCCGCCUAAGGUGGGAUAGAUGAUUGGGGUGAAGUCGUAACAAGGUA
rnacentral:rRNA from 1 species